AGCGCCAUGGUUUAGCUGGUUAAAGCACCCGCCUAGUAAACAGGCAGUCCUGGGUUUGAAUCCCAGAGGCGCCU
rnacentral:tRNA from 1 species